rnacentral:rRNA from 1 species
GCGGCGGACGGGUGAGUAACGCGUGGGCAACCUGCCUCAUACAGGGGGAUAACAGUUAGAGAUGACUGCUAAUACCGCAUAAGACCGCGGUACCGCAUGGUACAGCGGUAAAAACUCCGGUGGUAUGAGAUGGGCCCGCGUCUGAUUAGCUAGUUGGCGGGGUAACGGCCCACCAAGGCGACGAUCAGUAGCCGACCUGAGAGGGUGACCGGCCACAUUGGGACUGAGACACGACCCAAACUUAUACGGGAGGCAGCAGUGGGGAAUAUUGCACAAUGGGGGAAACCCUGAUGCAGCGACGCCGCGUGGGUGAAGAAGCGCCUCGGCGCGUAAAGCCCUGUCAGCAGGGAAGAAAAUGACGGUACCUGAAGAAGAAGCCCCGGCUAACUACGUGCCAGCAGCCGCGGUAAUACGUAGGGGGCAAGCGUUAUCCGGAUUUACUGGGUGUAAAGGGGGCGCAGACGGCGAUGCAAGCCAGGAGUGAAAGCCCGGGGCCCAACCCCGGGACUGCUCUUGGAACUGCGUGGCUAGAGUGCAGGAGGGGCAGGCGGAAUUCCUGGUGUAGCGGUGAAAUGCGUAGAUAUCACGAGGAACACCGGUGGCGAAGGCGGCCUGCUGGACUGCAACUGACGUUGAGGCCCGAAAGCGUGGGGAGC